rnacentral:rRNA from 1 species
GAUGAACGCUGGCGGCGUGCCUAAUACAUGCAAGUCGAGCGAACAGACGAGGAGCUUGCUCCUCUGACGUUAGCGGCGGACGGGUGAGUAACACGUGGAUAACCUACCUAUAAGACUGGGAUAACUUCGGGAAACCGGAGCUAAUACCGGAUAAUAUAUUGAACCGCAUGGUUCAAUAGUGAAAGACGGUUUUGCUGUCACUUAUAGAUGGAUCCGCGCCGCAUUAGCUAGUUGGUAAGGUAACGGCUUACCAAGGCAACGAUGCGUAGCCGACCGGAGAGGGUGAUCGGCCACACUGGAACUGAGACACGGUCCAGACUCCUACGGGAGGCAGCAGUAGGGAAUCUUCCGCAAAGGGCGAAAGCCUGACGGAGCAACGCCGCGUGAGUGAUGAAGGUCUUCGGAUCGUAAAACUCUGUUAUUAGGGAAGAACAAAUGUGUAAGUAACUAUGCACGUCUUGACGGUACCUAAUCAGAAAGCCACGGCUAACUACGUG